UACGAAGGGGGGCUAGCGUUGUUCGAAAUUACUGGGCGUAAAGCGCACGUAGGCGGAUCCUUAAGUCAGGGGUGAAAUCCCGAGGCUCAACCUCGGAACUGCCUUUGAUACUGGGGGAUAUCGAGUCCGGGAGAGGUGAGUGGAACUGCGAGUGUAGAGGUGAAAUUCGUAGAUAUUCGCAAGAACACCAGUGGCGAAGGCGG
rnacentral:rRNA from 1 species